rnacentral:rRNA from 1 species
AGAGUUUGAUCCUGGCUCAGGACGAACGCUGGCGGCGUGCUUAACACAUGCAAGUCGAGCGAGAAACCUUCGGGUUUCUAGCGGCGGACGGGUGAGUAACACGUGGGUAACCUGCCUCAAAGUGGGGGAUAGCCUUCCGAAAGGAAGAUUAAUACCGCAUAACAUUGUAGCUUCGCAUGAAGCAGCAAUUAAAGGAGUAAUCCGCUUUGAGAUGGACCCGCGGCGCAUUAGCUAGUUGGAGAGGUAACGGCUCACCAAGGCGACGAUGCGUAGCCGACCUGAGAGGGUGAUCGGCCACAUUGGAACUGAGACACGGUCCAGACUCCUACGGGAGGCAGCAGUGGGGAAUAUUGCACAAUGGGCGAAAGCCUGAUGCAGCAACGCCGCGUGAGUGAUGAAGGUCUUCGGAUUGUAAAGCUCUGUCUUUUGGGACGAUAAUGACGGUACCAAAGGAGGAAGCCACGGCUAACUACGUGCCAGCAGCCGCGGUAAUACGUAGGUGGCAAGCGUUGUCCGGAAUUACUGGGCGUAAAGGAUGUGUAGGCGGAUAUUUAAGUGAGAUGUGAAAUCCCCGAGCUCAACUUGGGGGCUGCAUUUCAAACUGGGUAUCUAGAGUGCAGGAGAGGAAAGCGGAAUUCCUAGUGUAGCGGUGAAAUGCGUAGAGAUUAGGAAGAACAUCAGUGGCGAAGGCGGCUUUCUGGACUGUAACUGACGCUGAGGCAUGAAAGCGUGGGGAGCAAACAGGAUUAGAUACCCUGGUAGUCCACGCCGUAAACGAUGAGUACUAGGUGUA